GGGGGGAUAGCUCAGUUGGUAGAGCAGAGGAUUGAAAAUCCUCGAGUCGGCGGUUCAAGUCCGCCUCUCCCCACCA
rnacentral:tRNA from 2 species